UACAGAGACUGCAAGCGUUAUUCGGAUUCACUGGGCGUAAAGGGUGCGUAGGUGGCGCUGUAAGUCGGGUGUGAAAUUUCGGAGCUUAACUCCGAAACUGCAUUCGAUACUGCGGUGCUUGAGGACUGGAGAGGAGACUGGAAUUCAUGGUGUAGCAGUGAAAUGCGUAGAGAUCAUGAGGAAGACCAGUGGCGAAGGCGGGUCUCUGGACAGUUCCUGACACUGAGGCACGAAGGCCAGGGGAGCAAACAGG
rnacentral:rRNA from 1 species